AGUCGCAACGAAGCUCUCAUCGACCGCAGACGCGUUCGGGACAGACAACUUCUCACUUGUAUGAAACCAAAAUGUCACAACCUAAGAAAAAAAAGACCAGGGAAGAAGUACUAGCCCAAAA